CCCCACAUCGCUGUGCCCCCGGCGGGAAAGGGAGGCACAGCGGGCUCUUAUCAGUGGGAUUUUGGGGAGCAGGAGCAGACACUUCGUUUCCAAAUCGUCUCAAAAUAUGUGUGAUAUUGCAAGACAGGGCAACGGAGUUCACAGGGACUGGGUUCGUGCCUGGGAAGGAUUUCCUUGGCCACAGCUGCACCACAGAAAGCCAAAGCCGAACAUCUCCCCAAGCACCCGACACUUCUGCUGCCAAGCUCCAGUUGCUAUGGGAAGGAGAGAAUUCUGCUCGUGCACCAAAACAAAACAAGUCACCUUCAGCUUGGAAGAUUUUACAAAACACACGGCUUCCUCUGGCAGGGCCCUGGGAGCACCCAGCAGCACAGCACAAAGUCCCCUGCAGCCCCCCUGUCCCUGGAAGGCUCUGGAAUGAUCCUUCCCCUUUGUUCUUCUACGGGUGGAACUCCUCACCCACCACCAAGCACAGAUUCUGCUGAUGAUCUGCCAAAGAAAGCCAAGGUCUGGAAAGGUUCCCUGCUGACCCCAGCCUUCAGGAUUCAAGAAUCCACGCAGCUUCAGCUGAAGGGCAGGACAGAGGAAAAAGCACUUGAAUGUCACUGAGGAGAGGGACGGGAAAUGACGAGUUCAGAGCUUCAGGAAUUUCAGUUUUAAGAUCUGUGUCUAUAUUGGAUGUAUGAUGUAACACACACACACACAUAUAUAUAUAUAUAUAUAUAUAUAUAUUGCAAAAUCUUCUAUUUGAUGCCUCAGCACUCAGGGCUUUGCUCAUCCAACGCUGCUUUCAGCACAAGAGCAUUUUGUGCAAAAAAAAUGUGGUUUGUGUUUUAAUUUUCCACGGAGUGCAGAUGUGAGGCUGCAAAAGGAAUAAACCCAAAGGGGCCAGAGCGGCUCCCCCUGCCCACUUCCCAGUGCCCUCCCCUCCCACUCCCUUUCUCCAAAAAGAUUUGAUUUCUGUCUGUUCCGUUUUGUUCUUAUGAGAACAAAAGAAUUAAAAAUGACUCCAAGAAUCAGCCCAUUAUCUCAGGCAAUAAUUCGAUUAAAGUUGCCAUCACCAGGCCAGGCACCCCAAGGAUCUGCAGUGCACACAGGAAUUUUGGGUCAUUCCUGCUGCAGCAAGGAACAUUUAUUUUUUUCCCUUUUCCACAUGAAUGCCUGAAACUCCCUUGGGGAAUGUUCGACCCUGUCAAAACAAAGGCACGGAGAUUUUUAAGAAACAGUUGUGUGAACAAGUAGGACAAAAUCCAUGAAGAGUGAGCAGGAGAGAGGGAAAUUCUGUUUGAGCUCCAGAAUGGAGCCAGAAAAGCCCUGGAUUCAGGAAUCCGUGUGGACACGGAUGCACACCCCUAUUUACCUGUGUGCCAGAAUUCCCACUCUGCCUCCUGCCCUUCCCACUGCUCUCACUUCUCUGGGAUUUCCUGGACGUGCUGAUUCCCCCCCUCCGGAACAGCAGGAAUGAAUAAACACCCCCCAAAAUGACCCAAAAUGACCCAAAACGACCCAGAACAACCCAAACCAGCAGCACAGCAUCACCAGGACACUGCAAAGUGAUUUUUUGGGCUGAAAUAAGAGCUAAAAGCAGAGAGACUUCCCCCAAGCUCCUGGCAGAGCCCGGGAACGUUUCCCUGCCACCACCAAAGCUCCGUGAGGCGGCAGAAAAAGCUGCUCCGUGAAUUUUCCAGCGGCUGUGGCUGAAAUGAGAACCCUGCCCGUUAUAGAACGCAGAAAUCUGGUAGUUAAAUUCCUCUUGCCUUGUGCUGCUUUGCCUCUAUAACUUUGAAAGCCCUGAAAGAACAUAAAGUUAAAUUUUUAAUGGCAUUUCAGCAGAACCUCUUUGAAUUUUGUAUUAGAUCUCAAUUUAGCCUCCAGUAAAGCCUUUAGGAAAAAAAAAAAAAUCCGAUGCUUAAAAAUGUAAUAAUCAUACAGGAACCUUCCAAAGCCAAUAUCAAAUAGAAUGAAAUAUAUUUUAUUAAUGAUACAAUUCAUAAAAUUACCAGCCCUGCCACUCUGUGCCUGCAGGAGAGACUUCCUGGGCUGGGUUUGAUUGCACAUCCAGGAGCUGCUGGGUUUGCUCUGAGUGGUUCCACCCUGACUGCUCCGUGGCCUCCGAGGGGAAUUGGCCAUUUCAGGGAUGUUUUGUCAGGAAAUUCCACCUAUAAGAGUAAUAAAAAAAAUAAAACUAUUUUAGGAGUGCUUGAUUCUGUAGGGAAGGGUGUGGAGCCAUCGAAAACUUCACUGUAAACCCCUGAAUUCCCAAUAAAACCCUGGGAAUUCACUCCUUGCUUGGGGAAAUGACUGAGCAGAACCCUGAAUUCCCAAUAAAACUGGGAAUUCACUCCUUGCUUGGGGAAAUGACUGAGCAGAACCCUGAAUUCCCAA